rnacentral:ncRNA from 1 species
CUUAUCUAGAGUGGCUGAGGGACUGGCCCUUAGACGCCCGGCAACCGACUUUUAUAAAUAAAAAUACGGUGCCAAUUCCAGCGGGACAUUAAAUUGCCCGGAAGAUGAGA